rnacentral:lncRNA from 1 species
CUCUUUCUCUCUUGCCUGCCACCAUGUGAGAUGUGCCUUUCACCUUCUUCCAUGAUUGUGAGGCCUCCCUAGCCACAUGAAACUCCUAAAACAUUAGGAUGCUGAUUAUGGGGCCUCUACGAAGUGAAUUCCACCCAAGAACACCAGGCGGAAAAAUCCAUUCCUGACUGCAGUGGUGAAGUGGAUGCAUGGAAUCCCCAGCAAGGUCCUGGCAGGCAAGUCCUUGUUGGCCCCAAUAAAUCAAUGAUGGUGGCGGGAGACUCACUCCCUCCACGGGCUCCGCAUAAGCCAGAGCACGCAGUGGCAGACAAAGGAGGGUGAAACCAGCAUGUGUGUGCCUCUCAUAAAUGCUUUCCCUAUGUUCAUAAAUUGUCAUUUAAUUUUAAUAACAACCAAUUAGAAGAUGAUUGUGAAACCAUUAAACAGAUGAAUAAACUGAGGCUACCAGAGAUUAUGUCUUUCCCCAGGCUAUACUGCUGGUGGGUAAUCAAGCCAGGAUUACUACCCAGAUUUGUCCGACUGCAAUACUCAUAUUCUUUUUACCAGGCACCGUGCAAAGUGGUGUGCAUGUAUUUUCUCAUUUAAUCAUGAUAAAAAUCCUCAAAGAUGGAUAUUAGCAUCUCAGAUUUACAAAUAAAGAAACUGAAGCUUUGCAGAAUUCA